CCUUUUAAUGUGAAAUCAAAGUAACCCCCCCUCCCCAACCCCCCACCCCAAUACACACACAAAAUUUCGAGCCUAAAUGCAGUAAUUUUAUGAUAAAGUGGACUCGAUUGAAAAUCACUCAAAUGUGGAUUUGAAAUACGAUGAGCCUACUAGCGAAGGCAUGACUCCGACACGACAGUCUGAAAAUCAACAAGGGAUGAGGAUAUUCCUCCGCCAAAAUUUUGACCAAAGACUAGCUGCCUCUUUUCACAUGUAAUAAUGUCUUUUCGUGGUAUUUAUUGUAGAGCGAUAAUUGUGAAGUAUAACUUUACUGUUCAAGUUUCUCAUCAAAGAUGAAAAGAACUAGGAACAACCGAUUAGUUCUGAAACUUCAUUUUAAUUUGUUAAAACUAUACAAUAAUAAAAUCAUAAAAUCUUAUAAGUGGGGGAGUGUGUAUGUAGAUAUUAUUAAGAAGAUGGGAUACUAUUUUCGGUAGGUUCUAGGUUCACGAACAAAAAAGCGAGAGCAAUAAACAAAUAAUACCUUCAACAAGGUAAUAGGGCAACAUAAGGAAAUGAUACAAUAUAUAAUAACAAAGUUUAGGAAUAUAAAAAUACAAGAAUAGUGUCACUACUACGCUAAAUGAAAAUUUAAUUGGAGGCCUUUGUUGAAAAAUUAAACAAGAUAGGAGGCCUAAAACAAAAUUUUAAUUGGAGGUCUUUGUUGAAACAAAACCUUCUAGCUUUUUGUUUAUAAAAUAAUUUAUGUUAUAAACCAUUUAAUCACUCUUAAAACAUUGUUGAUCUUUAAAAAUUAAAUCAAAUUUAAAGUUGAUAACUUGAUACUAAAAUAAUUAUUAGAUUUUCGAUCCACAAUGAUCAGGAUCGAAUGAAUGCGCAUUCUCUUUCUGGCAAGCGAAAAUAUACUUCUAAUCUCUCAGUAACCAAUGAUCAGGCGAGGCAGAAAUUAUUUAGUUCGGAUUUUUCUGGUAAAAAAGAAGAUAGAAUUCCUGAUUAUUCAGACCUUAAUCGAAUCAUAUGUGUUGGUCAGUAUAAUCUUGUAUAUUCGCCUAUUCUCCACGAAAAUUCUGAUUUAUUAUCAAAAAGGCGGAGAGAUAAAUUCAUCAUCCCACUACACUCGAUUCAAGAACUCGAGAAUGAACUAAUGCCCUGUUCAGGUAUCUCGAUUGAAAUCCCUGUAAAUGCUAUUUUCCGUCGAAAUAGUAUUCUUGCUUAUUUCGAUGAUCCUCGAAACAGAAGAAAGAGUUCGGGCAUUAUUAAAUAUGGGACUAUAGAAACGCAUUCAGUCAUCAAAAAAGAGGAUUUGCUUGAGUAUCGAGGAGUCAAGGAAUUUAGGCCAA
rnacentral:lncRNA from 1 species